rnacentral:rRNA from 1 species
CCCUUAGACGUUCUGGGCCGCACGCGCGCUACACUGACGGAGCCAGCGAGUAUAAACCUUGGCCGAGAGGUCUGGGAAAUCUUGUGAAACUCCGUCGUGCUGGGGAUAGAGCAUUGUAAUUAUUACUCUUCAACGAGGAAUUCCUAGUAAGCGCAAGUCAUCAGCUUGCGUUGAUUACGUCCCUGCCCUUUGUACACACCGCCCGUCGCUACUACCGAUUGAAUGGCUUAGUGAGGCUUCCGGAUUGGUUUAGAGAAGGGGGCAACUCCAUCUUGGAACCGAGAAGCUAGUCAAACUUGGUCAUUUAGAGGAAGUAAAAGUCGUAACA